UUUAGGUUAUUCUGGCAAAUACCACAUUCAUCGUCUUCCUGACGCUGUUACAAAGCCGUAGAGGGCGGAGUUCAGCGAAUGCAAGAGCAGAGAUCAAAAAUGGAGGAAAUUUCAAAAAUACUCCAAAUCUAUGAGCUCCAAUAUUCCGACCUCUUGCUCUUGUCUUCGCCUUACCAUUCUUCAUCUUCAAUGCCGCACAACGAACGGAUCAAAUCGAUAAACGAAUCGAUUCUUCAAGCUCUAGGUCCCAGUGGACCUGGCCUUCUCGCAAUCGUCGGCGUCCCUAAUUCUUCUGUUCCCCGCCGAGCAUUAUUGCCUCUCGCUCGCAAUCUCGCGCUGCUCAAUCCUGAAGAUCGGAAACGGAUUCUUAAGGAUCAUAACUUAGGAAGUGAUGUUCCCUUGAGGAAUCCAGAAAGAAGAGUAUCCUCUUUUGCAAUGCAACUCAAAUAUACAGACAGUAAGGGAUUCUUGCAGAAUAAUCAAAGUCAGACUCAGAGAGAGGACAAACAGUCACCAUGUUCAGUUGAUCAUUACAGUGAUCGGAUCGGGAACGAAUUUCAGGACCAUGAAUUUAAACAUCUUGGCAAUUCAUUUAAAGAGCUAGGAAGUUGCAUGAUGGAACUGGGGCUUCGCAUUGCACGUAUAUGCGACCAGGAAAUCGGAGGUCAAGAGUUAGAACAAAGCUUGUUGGAGUCCUGCACUGCAAAAGGCCGUCUCAUACACUACCAUUCGGCUCUGGAUGCCCGGCUCUUAAGAAAACCAGCAAACAGCAAAGGAACUGCAAGAGACCGAGCUAGUUCUAGAAGAAAUAAAGAACAGAGCAUACACUGUAAACGAGAGCCAGCAGACAGUAAAGGUCUACGUCAAUCAAGCUCUAAUCUAUGGCAGCAAUGGCACUAUGACUAUGGUAUCUUCACAGUUCUAACAUCUCCCAUGUUUCUAUCGCCAUCAAAUACACUUGAGAUUGAAGCACAAGAUCUGUGUUGCUAUAACGAGUGUACUUCUCCCGACAGACAUUCGUAUUUGCAAAUUUUUGAUCCUUGCAAGAAUGAUAUUUUCAUGGUUAGCACUCCACCAGAAAGUUUUAUCAUCCAGGUGGGCGAAUCGGCUGAUAUUAUAUCGCAAGGGAAGCUUCGUUCCACUCUUCACUCUGUGUGCAGACCUUCCAAGCAAGAGAAUUUGUGCAGAGAAACAUUUGUUGUAUUCCUGCAGCCAGCUUGGAACAAAACAUUUUCCCUGUCCGGCUAUUCCAUUGAAAGCUCAAUUUUGUCCAAGGAGAGAGAAGAUCUUGUUGAAAAGGAGGGAUCGAUGAUAACUCGAGAAAUCCAGAAGAUUGUUCCACCAUUAGUGUCGAGGUUGAAGGAAGGGAUGAAAUUUGCAGAGUUCUCACGGGAGACUACCAAGCAAUAUUACGGAGGAAGUGGCUUGCAAUCUAACAGAUGAUUCAGUUAUUUGAACAAUAGGGGGGCCCAAGGAUUGAGGGGCGCUCGCCUGAAGCGAAACGAUGGUGAAGAAAAGAAAGCCUUUCCCGUUCAUGUCUCUGAUACCCUAAAAAUGGUCAACAGAGAGAAAAAGAGGUUGAUGACAUCAAGAUAGAUAGCCACAGCAGCCCAAAUGUAAUCAUCAUAUGAAUAAGCAAGGAGGUUCCCUGUGUCGUAAAUGAUAUAUCCACAGAAAAUGAUCGAUGCCAAACAACCGUAGACCAUUACAGAGAUCCUACCUAAUGGGAAGAAGAGCUGCAGCCAUGAAAGUGGAACCAGAGGUAAGAAUAUCAAAAGAAAAACCUCAGAUGGAACAAUAUGGACAGAAUUGAGAGAUGUUAAUGGUGUUUGAUGAAAUGUCUAAGAGAAGCAGAGAACUACCUGAAUCAUUCCAAACACUAGAAGAAUCAUCAGAGCUCCAAACAGGAAUGGACCAAGGAAGCUGAAUUCGAUCCCUCUUCUAGCAGCCCAAAAUGUGUACACAGUGAGACUGAUAACAGCCACGGUGGUCAGAAUUACAGAUUCCAGAAUCACUUUCCCUGUGAAGCAUCGAGGAAAUUGGGAAAAAUGUCAAAGUAUGAGAUUAGAGAGACGAACAAAUAAUGUGAAGGCAGAUGCUCGAUCUUGGGUCUGCAAAUUUCCUAGAGUCCGAUGCCACGUUCAUCAUCAAUGAAGCAACCAUGGAUCAGAAAUUUCAUCAGUUCCAGAAGGGAAAAAAAAGACAGGAAAUUUACCGCUGGUAAAAGCA